rnacentral:miRNA from 1 species
ACCACUCCCACAAACGUCUACGAUCGCGCCUACAUAGUUUUGCACACAAUUCUAAUUUUGAACAGCCAAUCCGGUUCUUGAUGACAAUUACAAUUAAACGUCGAUUGACUGUUUAAAAUUAGAAUUGUAAACAUGCAAAAAUAUGUAGAUGCGGUCGUAGACGUUUGUGAGAGUGGC